rnacentral:piRNA from 1 species
UCAGGCACUGAGAAGGCAGAGGUGCCAC